GUGAAUCAUCGAAUCUUUGAACGCAAAUUGCACUCUCUUCGGUUCGUAUGAGUGUUUCAGGUUCAGCCUCAAAAAAAUAAAAAUCGUUGUUGUUUCUCGGUGGCGUUCGUCGGCAAUUGGGUUAUCUUAAAUCUUUGGUUUAUGCGACUUAAAAUUUUCUUUAUGAUUCCAUGAAUGUUUCCAAGUUUUAUUUUUUUACAUGUUUAAGGUAUCGAUUUUUUUAGGCGUGGUCGUCAUUUCGGUCCAUGUACAUAAUUUUUCGUAA
rnacentral:misc_RNA from 1 species